GCUCCGGUGGCCUAGUGGUUAGAGCGUCUGCCUCGUAUGCGGGAGGUCACGGGUUUGAACUCCUGCCGAGUCA